GAGGGUGACAGGUGGUGCAUGGUUGUCGUCAGCUCGUGUCGUGAGAUGUUGGGUUAAGUCCCGCAACGAGCGCAACCCUCGACCUUAGUUGCCAGCAUUCAGUUGGGCACUCUAAGGUGACUGCCGGCUAGAAGUCGGAGGAAGGUGGGGAUGACGUCAAAUCAUCAUGCCCCUUAUGACCUGGGCUACACACGUGCUACAAUGGGCGGUACAAAGGGUCGCGAACCCGCGAGGGGGAGCCAAUCCCAAAAAGCCGCUCUCAGUUCGGAUUGCAGGCUGCAACUCGCCUGCAUGAAGCCGGAAUCGCUAGUAAUCGCGGAUCAGCAUGCCGCGGUGAAUACGUUCCCGGGCCUU
rnacentral:rRNA from 1 species